rnacentral:lncRNA from 1 species
GUUGGGAUGAAAACUCCACAUGGAUAUCUGAGGACGGACAGAUUUGAAUGGUAUUGGCUCCAUCUAGUGGUUUCUAGUGGAGAGUUCACAUUUUUCUUCUUUUCUUCUUCUUGCUUUGUUUGUUGGAAUCAGACCUUGGCUGGGUGGACAUUACGUAAACUGGGCCCAAAGAAAUACCAUAGCAGUAUGGAUCUCUGAAGUGGUUUCAUGGAUGUCCAUGUCUAUGGUAUCAUCUUUAAAUAAUACAUUCAUGGAAGCUCUGGAAGACAAAAUCUCGCGAUACUUCACUCUGUCGACUGUCGUUGUGGAUACCAUAAUUUGUCGCAUAGUUUCAGCAUAAUUUUCCCAUGUCAAAAAGUUGAUAUAACAACGUGGCCUUUUUCAGACAGAGCUACGGGUGUAUGGAAACAACUUUCUUUUUGCUUCAUGAGCCAACUAAUUACCUUAGGUAGCUAAAAUACUCGCUCGAAUUUGCAAUAGCCUCACUUCCUUGUUUCGUUGGAUAUGAUUUGGAUGCGCGGCUUUCUUGAACAAAUACGUCCAUGAUCUUGCAGUCUUGAGGGGUUCUUUUAUUUGCCCUGCUUUGUUCAAUCAAGGGACUUCAAUAUGGCAUUUAAUAUUGAAAAUACGAUCAAGUCACGGAAAGGGGAACAAGCCAAGAUUCACGAGUCAGGUCAACUUUGUACAGAAAUCAUACACUUGCUUACAUCUCAACCAAGAUUACCAUCUCGGUUGGACUUAGAAGAAAAUGUACCUACAGAUAUGUCACCUGUGAAGAGAGAAGAAAUAGAUCUUCUUGAUAAGGCUCUUGAAAAGGCCCUGCAAGUCCGCUCUGGUUCAAAACCUUCUGUCACAAGGCCCAACAUUGUCAAGCCACCUGGAACUCAAAAUAAACAUGGUGAUGCUACAAAAGAUGCACUAAGCACUUAUAAAGGACAGACAAAAAAUAUGUUAUUGUCUAAAACCACUGAACGAAAGGACCAAAAAACAAAUCAGACAACUGUCUGCCAUACACGCACAAAGCAAGCAGAUGGCUUCAAAUCUGUGAAGACAAACGACCCAAAAGUCACACAAGGGAAUGUGAAUUCCAGUAAACUGAAGGCACUAUCCGAUCAUGGGCAGCCCACAUUGCCUUAUGGGUCUAAAAACCAGACUGACCAAUUGUGUGGCAAAAAUCUUAAAGCCAUCACUGUUGCUUUUUCAAAAACAAUAGAGUCAGACAGGAAUUGUCUGUUUCAACAUGAAGAGAUGGUGAAAUGGACAAACCUGAAGCACAAGGAAAACUGGUUAUGGGACAAAAUUAUAGCUUUUGAAACAAAAUCAUCAACGUCAAGGAGAGAGCUUUUCAUGGCCAAAAUGAGGGGCACAUUCCCCAUGAGGUGGCCAGGUGGUAGCCCAGAAAAGAUUCAAGCUAUGAUGCACAGAUUGAUUCAACAAGGGCAAGACCUUCCAGAGAACAGACAGAGAGGAGGUGAAGACAAUCAUGAUUCUGCAGUGAAAUUUGACAGGCUCAAAAUAACACAUGAAAAUAUUUACAAAUGUGCAGUCCAAUUAAAAAGAGAGUGGAAAUCAUGGGAUCGAUGGAGGCCAGAAUGGGGUUGUCUUUGCCCCAUUGGGACAGAAACUGAGUGGCAUGAAGGGAGACCUCUAACACUGCCCAAGACUGUUACCUACACUACGGAGAGAGAGCUAACAGAGCUGGAGAGACUGAGGAUGAGGGUUGCAUUGCUGCAACAGGAAGCUUUUGCAGAGAAGAUCCUUUCAGACACUUUGUCAUCACAUCUAUCUUCAGCUGUGUGUGCAACUUUAAAUCCCAGACUUCUGAGAGAACUCUAUUCUGUGCUGGGGGAAGGAGGCUUAUAUAGAGGCUGCGUCUGUACGUACAGGACAGUGUACAAUGUGCUGCCAGAGAACCAGCAGGCACAGCGCAGAAAAAGAGCCAGAGAGGAAAGCAAAGCAGGCCAAAGUGUGAGUGGAUUUUUAUGUUGAAUUACUACGCUCUGACAUUCUACUCUCAUUUUGACUCCAGUUUUAUCUUGUAUCUCUCCAGGUCAGAGCUGACCACAAGCCAAGCCCAGGAGUUGCUGAUCGCAAUCUGGAUCUGCCUGCACACAGACUCAGCAUGGGCUGUGCCACUGGCCACUUGGCUUGCCAAACCCAGCCUGCAACCACCUUAGAUCAAGAGUCUCAUUCCCUUGAGGCAGGCACGGCCAAAGUCCCUGAAGCGCUAUCAUCCCUCGACCGUCUGUCCCAAGCCACUGGAGGCAUGGAGAAAUCUUGGUAUCGCUGCAUCUUUCCUUUCGGAAUCAUCUCCUUGGUUAUUGGUGUAGCUGGAACGGGAGUAACUUACACUUACAAUGACUUGCCUCAAACUAAGGUGGUGUCUGUAGUGCUGCUGGUUUUGGGCAUUUUGCUUCUGGUAAUGGCCACUACUUGCUGGACUGUCCAUAAGAAGAAAAGAAGGAAAAAGAAGGAAGCAGUCUCAUUAAAUUCUGAGCAAUGCCCGCAAUGAAGCUUAGAAUAAAACGCCUUAAACUAAAGGAACAUGAUGUGAAUAGGUAUUCAGAAUGCAUCAAAAUAUUGUAUACAGAAAGACAGACCUCAAGUUAUGUGGCACUGUUUGUUCUGAGGAGUUGACUUCAGAAUGGCACAUGGAGGCAUUACCAACACUGCUUUAUCGAACAGGUAUCCAGUGUCAAAACAACCUCAGUGGAGACCCUUCAGAAAUAUGCAUCGCAUACUGCCCACAUAUUUACAUGCUUGGGAACAUGACUCUUGCGCUGCUCCACAAGUCUGCCAGAGUGUGUCUAAGAUGCUAUGCAGAGCUGUUGCUGGAGUUGGUGCUCACGUCACAAGGGACGUCAGUCACAGCAUUCCUACUGCUGGGACAGGUGACUCUCCAAGAGGCCAGAAGUGGGCCAAAGACCGCAACUCGACACCAGUCCAAAUAAGCUGUGCAAUCGCGUCAACGGCCAGCGUCAUUCACUCAUCCUGUGACACCGCAGCAAUGUGCAGGGGGGGCUUUUUACGCAAUGGGACAGUGGAACUUGAGUCGUUGAAGAUCUUGCUGGAAUCUGCCUUGAUGAAGACAUUGAGAACAACUUGGAUAGUUUAAAAAAUAUAGGUAUAUACAAGUCUAAAAACAGAUGAAAAGCCAAGAUUGUCAAAGAUUUGCACAUUUUGGCCUUGCCAAGAGAAUAAUUAUAGCUUCAGCUCAAAGAACAGAACUGCUGGCAUUCUGACUGACAGCUUGCCCUUCAGGGAGUGUGAAAACAUGUCUACGUGGGGCACUUCACAUCAGGAUAGGCUGGCAUUACUGUAAAGCAGUGCUUAAAGGGCUCGGCCAAUAUAUAGAAACUAUAACCAACGGCACGGUCUAAAGCACAUUUUAAAUGCCUCGCACUUAAGGAACAAGACUGUCACAUUCCCAUUUUUAGAUUUUUUUUAAAUCAUGUUUUGAUUUUCCUUUGGUAUCCAUAAGAGUUUCACAAAAUGGUGAUUCUCAGUUUGUAUCUUUUAGGGAUCCAAGUUUUUGUCUGUCAUUUUGUUGGGACACACUUUAAAUAUUAUGAUUUUUACUUUGAGUCUCAGAUCAUUUUAAAACCAUUUAAUCUGUUCCUUUGCACAAUCUUUUCUAAUCCACAUUGUUACCCCCAUGGGUCCCAAGCAACAGCUGAAAAUGACUAUCUUCAUUAGUGUUGUUUUAAAGAUAAAUGUAGCAUGUGGUUUUAAUUAAACAUUCAUUAUUCUCUCACUCACAGUAACAGAGAGCACUGGGACACAAAUGUCUAAAACUGCAAUAGCACUAACCUUUUAAACUAUUAUUGAUUACUGCCGUAUUGAUCUUGGAUACCAGAUUAGUGACACUUUCUGUGGAGUAACGUGCCUAUGCAUCCAUUGUACACAGUUAACAUAAUGCCAAAGACACCGAGGCACGUCUUUCUAAUCAUCAGACUGAAAGUGGCAAUCUUUCAGAAAUACUGUAGAGGAUCAGCUUGGAGCAUUUGAGUGUCACUGAGUUCUGAGUAUUAGAUGAGUAUUAGAUGGCAUGCAAUGUAUAAAACCGGGGAAAAAAUCUGACAUUGUUGCGAAUAGUUUUGCAGUGUUCAGUUGAAGUCUUUCCCUGGAGUCAAAAUGGGAACAAUAAUCUUGUACAACCUUGGGGCAUUAAUGGAUGGUAGCUGCACAGAAUAGAUAUUAUGUAUUUCCUACAUUUUGUCAGGUUCCAAAAUAAACCAACCACAACUUAAUUCUCUCUAUGUAUUAUAAAAAUAGGAGGUAAGACUUCUGUGAAUCUAACCUGAAAUAGAAGUAAAAUUAUUAGACAUAUGCAUUUACUUGCAUUAAUAAACAUAAUUAAAAAAAAAUACAUAUGUGCUGUUAGAUUAGGUUGACUGCAAGCAAAUGUUUGCUGUAAACUAGUGCCAUUUCCACACAUGUAGAGAACUUAGUGAUGGUUUGCCAAAUAUAUGUUGUCUGUUAUUCUGUUGCUCAUUCUUGUUAGAGUAAUUUACCUUCUGCCUUCACUUAAAGAGAACCUCUACCUCUCAAUGCUGCAGGGGAACUGUCCCUCACUCCUGGGUUGCUGCUGUCUGCUGAUGCUGUUGGUCACUUCAGGAAGUGACGGAAAUCUGCCCUUUUACUUUUGGUUCUGUGUAAAUAUUUACAUUUUAUAUUUGUACAGUAAGUUUUUAUUCAAAUGUAUGUUGGUUGUAUUAAAGUC